AAUCCGACCUAGGCUCAUCUGAUAGCGCAAGGCCCGAAGGUCCCCUGCUUUCUCCCGUAGGACGUAUGCGGUAUUAGCGUCCGUUUCCGAGCGUUAUCCCCCACUACCAGGCAGAUUCCUAGGCAUUACUCACCCGUCCGCCGCUCUCAAGAGAAGCAAGCUUCUCUCUACCGCUCGACUUGCAUGUGUUAGGCCUGCCGCCAGCGUUCAAUCUGAGCCAGGAUCAAACUCU
rnacentral:rRNA from 1 species